rnacentral:rRNA from 1 species
AACUAACGCUGGCGGCGUGCCUAACACAUGCAAGUCGAACGGUAACAGGUCUUCGGAUGCUGACGAGUGGCGAACGGGUGAGUAAUACAUCGGAACGUGCCCGAUCGUGGGGGAUAACGGAGCGAAAGCUUUGCUAAUACCGCAUACGAUCUACGGAUGAAAGCAGGGGACCGCAAGGCCUUGCGCGGACGGAGCGGCCGAUGGCAGAUUAGGUAGUUGGUGGGAUAAAAGCUUACCAAGCCGACGAUCUGUAGCUGGUCUGAGAGGACGACCAGCCACACUGGGACUGAGACACGGCCCAGACUCCUACGGGAGGCAGCAGUGGGGAAUUUUGGACAAUGGGCGCAAGCCUGAUCCAGCCAUGCCGCGUGCAGGAUGAAGGCCUUCGGGUUGUAAACUGCUUUUGUACGGAACGAAACGGCGAGCUCUAAUACAGUUUGCUAAUGACGGUACCGUAAGAAUAAGCACCGGCUAACUACGUG